rnacentral:rRNA from 1 species
GUGGGGAAUCUUGCGCAAUGGGCGAAAGCCUGACGCAGCCAUGCCGCGUGAAUGAUGAAGGUCUUAGGAUUGUAAAAUUCUUUCACCGGGGACGAUAAUGACGGUACCCGGAGAAGAAGCUCCGGCUAACUUCGUGCCAGCAGCCGCGGUAAUACGAAGGGGGCUAGCGUUGCUCGGAAUUACUGGGCGUAAAGGGCGCGUAGGCGGACAGCUUAGUCAGAGGUGAAAGCCCAGGGCUCAACCUUGGAAUUGCCUUUGAUACUGGCUGUCUUGAGUUUGGGAGAGGUGAGUGGAACUCCGAGUGUAGAGGUGAAAUUCGUAGAUAUUCGAAAGAACACCAGUGGCGAAGGCGACUCACUGGCCCAAUACUGACGCUGAGGCGCGAAAGCGUGGGGAGCAAACAGGAUUAGAUACCCCGGUAGUCC